GACAGAGGCCCCGAGCGUUAGGCGGAAUCACUGGGCUUAAAGCGUGUGUAGGCGGAUCGUUAAGUGUCUUGUGAAAUCCCACGGCUCACCCGUGGAACUGCUGGGCAUACUGGCGAUCUUGGGCCGUUCAGGGGCGACUGGAACAAGCGGUGGAGCGGUGAAAUGCGUAGAUAUCUGGAGGAACACCAGCGGCGAAGGCGGCGCUCUGGGCUGGAACUGACGCUGAGGAGCGAAAGCGUGGGGAGCGAACAGG
rnacentral:rRNA from 1 species